AACUCAUAUAAAGCAAUACAAACACUCGUUCCUUCACCAACACAAACAUUCACUCUCAAAGGCAUGCUUCAAAAUACUGAGAGGAUGAAGAUGAGACGUGUAGCGGUUGGCGUAGUGAUGGUGUUUAUGAUUAUCAACACUUUGUUUGUUGCUGAUGGAAGGCACUUGAAGUUGCAAGAACAAAGGGAUGAGAACCAAAACUUGGAAGCCAAAAAGCACUAUGAAACUAAUGAAUACAAUCACCAUGGAUGCUAUAGAAGUGACUAUAAUUGUUGGAGCAACAGAAA